UCCUGGCUGUUGCGUUCCCUGGAGCCACGACUUUGUGGGGCCUAGGCUUGGGGGGAGGAGGAAUUCUGCCCAGACUCUCCAGCAGUUGGUAGCAGGCAAGCUUUCUCCUGUGUCGCCUGGAAAAGUUGCAAAAUUGCUCUUCACCUGUAAGAACAUGCUUUUUUAUCUUCCAGUCUCUUCUUGUCAAUUUGGAAAUUGCAGACAGCCCGGCUCAGGGUUGAAGAAACCAUCCAAGAUGGCCUAAACAACACAAGAUUCAUCUUCUUCUUUGUGCAUUUACUUAACAUCAUGCAGUUUAUUAAAUAUAUAUACAUAUAUAUAUAUAUAUAUAUUUGUAUACAUAUGUUUUAAAAGCCCCACCCUUAAUGUCUUUGGGGUCUUCAUGAGUUCUGUUGCACUUUACAAAAGACCUUUACGGAGGAAAGGACCGGACAACCUUGCCUUAUAUGUGUGGCCUACACCAUUAAUUGCCCAAGUCCUUUAGGGAGGCCUUAUUCCUAUGUAAAUACCCUUGCAUAAUGUUACAGGCUAUUGUUAGGCCAGCGCCAGUCAGUCGCCACUUAUAUGCAUUUUUACUUCAAUCCGCUGCUCAGAGAAUGAAAAGAUGUCUGGACUUAAGCUGUUUACCAACUGGGCCGAAGCUGCAGAGCAGCAAGACUGAAGAAAACCCAAGCAUCUGCAGGAACAGGCUUUUACAAUGUACCACUAUUCUGAGUCUUCAGAGCAGGGGCAGUCACCUGUGUGUCUGUGCUGGAGGCAGCCUUCCGGGUAGUGCUUGCUACCUGGCCUUAGACGGCAAACAAAAGACUUUUAUGAUCUGUAAAUGAUGAUCUGCAACCUUUUCUUAUUUUGUCUUCGGGAUCUCCUGAGUUGUCUUCAAUGAAGAAUUCUGUAUUUGUGGCAUAUAGUCAUAGUCCCAAAUCUUUGUCUGGACACAAAAUUGCCCAGGGGAAAAAUGUCAUCUACCUAAUAGUUGCAUGUGCCUACUGUAGAGUGAAAAAUUAUAAAGGCCAUCUUAUGAAAUAU